rnacentral:rRNA from 1 species
AGUGAACGCUGGCGGUAGGCCUAACACAUGCAAGUCGAACCGCAGCACAGUAAGAGCUUGCUCUUACGGGUGGCGAGUGGCGGACGGGUGAGGAAUACAUCGGAAUCUACUUUUUCGUGGGGGAUAACGUAGGGAAACUUACGCUAAUACCGCAUACGACCUACGGGUGAAAGCAGGGGAUCUUCGGACCUUGCGCGAUUGAAUGAGCCGAUGUCGGAUUAGCUAGUUGGCGGGGUAAAGGCCCAUCAAGGCGACGAUCCGUAGCUGGUCUGAGAGGAUGAUCAGCCACACUGGAACUGAGACACGGUCCAGACUCCUACGGGAGGCAGCAGUGGGGAAUAUUGGACAAUGGGCGCAAGCCUGAUCCAGCCAUACCGCGUGGGUGAAGAAGGCCUUCGGGUUGUAAAGCCCUUUUGUUGGGAAAGAAAAGCAGCAGGUUAAUACCCCGCUGUUCUGACGGUACCCAAAGAAUAAGCACCGGCUAACUUCGUG